rnacentral:rRNA from 1 species
UGGGGAAUCUUGCGCAAUGGACGAAAGUCUGACGCAGCCACGCCGCGUGAGUGAAGAAGGCCUUCGGGUUGUAAAGCUCUGUCACCUGGGACGAAAACCUUGGGGAAUAAUACCUCCAAGCUUGACGGUACCAGGGAAGGAAGCACCGGCUAACUCCGUGCCAGCAGCCGCGGUAAUACGGAGGGUGCAAGCGUUGCUCGGAAUUAUUGGGCGUAAAGGGUAGGUAGGUGGUCUCAUUUGUCCGGGGUGAAAGCCUUGAGCUUAACUCAAGAAGUGCCUUGGAAACGGUGAGACUAGAGUCCUAAAGAGGGUCGCAGAAUUCCCGGUGUAGCGGUGAAAUGCGUAGAGAUCGGGAGGAAUACCAGAUGCGAAAGCGGCGACCUGGAGAGGAACUGACACUCAACUACGAAAGCGUGGGGAGCAAACAG